AAUGAACGCUGGCGGCGCGCCUAAUACAUGCAAGUCGAGCGAGAAGACGUAGCAAUACGUUUGUAAAGCGGCGAACAGGUGAGGAAUACAUGGGUAACCUACCCUCGAGUGGGGAAUAACUAGCCGAAAGGUUAGCUAAUACCGCGUACGCUCCUUGGACUUCGGUUCAGGGAGGAAAGCGAUACCGUGGGUAUCGCGCUCUUGGUUGGGCUCAUGUCCUAUCAGCUUGUUGGUGAGGUAACGGCUCACCAAGGCUUCGACGGGUAGCUGGUCUGAGAGGACGAUCAGCCACACUGGCACUGCGACACGGGCCAGACUCCUACGGGAGGCAGCAGUAAGGAAUAUUGCGCAAUGGGCGAAAGCCUGACGCAGCGACGCCGCGUGGGGGAUGAAGGU
rnacentral:rRNA from 1 species